rnacentral:rRNA from 1 species
CGGCGGACGGGUGAGUAACGCGUGGGUAACCUGCCUCAUACAGGGGGAUAACAGUUAGGAAUGACUGCUAAUACCGCAUAAGACCACGGUACCGCAUGGUACAGUGGUAAAAACUCCGGUGGUAUGAGAUGGACCCGCGUCUGAUUAGGUAGUUGGUGGGGUAACGGCCCACCAAAGCGACGAUCAGUAGCCGGCCUGAGAGGGUGAACGGCCACAUUGGGACUGAGACACGGCCCAA